CUAGCGACUUCAGAGUUUGAUCCUGGCUCAGGAGAACGCUGGCGGCGUGCCUAACACAUGCAAGUCGAACGGAGUAGAGAGCUUCGGUUUUCUACUUAGUGGCAACGGGUGAGUAACGCGUGAGGAACCUGCCUCUCAGUGGGGGGACAACAGUUGGAAACGACUGCUAAUACCGCAUAAUGUUUCCGGACCGCAUGGUCUGGAAAUCAAAGCUUUAUGUGCUGAGAGAUGGCCUCGCGUCUGAUUAGCUAGUUGGUGGGGUAACGGCCCACCAAGGCGACGAUCAGUAGCCGGUCUGAGAGGAUGAACGGCCACAUUGGGACUGAGAUACGGCCCAG
rnacentral:rRNA from 1 species